rnacentral:snoRNA from 1 species
CUCGGUGAUGAGGGUUUCUGGUCCCGAGGGGUGAGGAGAGCUUGAUUGGCUGAGCU